UACGGAGGGAGCUAGCGUUGUUCGGAAUUACUGGGCGUAAAGCGCACGUAGGCGGCUUUGUAAGUUAGAGGUGAAAGCCUGGAGCUCAACUCCAGAAUUGCCUUUAAGACUGCAUCGCUUGAAUCCAGGAGAGGUGAGUGGAAUUCCGAGUGUAGAGGUGAAAUUCGUAGAUAUUCGGAAGAACACCAGUGGCGAAGGCGGCUCACUGACUGGUAUUGACGCUG
rnacentral:rRNA from 1 species